rnacentral:rRNA from 1 species
AUUGAACGCUGGCGGUAUGCUUUACACAUGCAAGUCGAACGGCAGCGCGGUCUUCGGCUUGGCGGCGAGUGGCGAACGGGUGAGCAAUACAUCGGAACGUGCCCAGUUGUGGGGGAUUGCUCGGUGAAAGCCGGAUUAAUACCGCAUACGCCCUGAGGGCGAAAGCGGGGAAUCUUCGGACCUCCCGCUAUUGGAGGGGCCGAUGGCAGAUUAGCUAGUUGGUGGGGUAAAGGCCUACCAAGGCGACGAUCUGUAGCUGGUCUGAGAGGACGACCAGCCACACUGGGACUGAGACACGGCCCAGACUCCUACGGGAGGCAGCAGUGGGGAAUUUUGGACAAUGGGCGAAAGCCUGAUCCAGCAAUGCCGCGUGGGUGAUGAAGGCCUUCGGGUUGUAAAGCACUUUUGGCGGGAACGAAAAGGACUGUGCCAAUACCACGGUUCGAUGACGGUACCCGCAGAAUAAGCACCGGCUAACUACGUG